CCGAGUUCAUGCCCUUCGGGGUAGAUCUCCCACCCUUUGUAUACUAUACCUUUGUUGCUUUGGCGGGCCGCCUAGCUACUGGCUUCGGCUGGUAAGUGCCCGCCAGAGAACCCAAAACCCUGAAUUAUUAGUGUCGUCUGAGUACUAUUAUAAAUAGUUA
rnacentral:misc_RNA from 1 species